rnacentral:rRNA from 1 species
AUUGAACGCUGGCGGCAGGCCUAAUACAUGCAAGUCGAGCGGACGAAGGGAGCUUGCUCCUGGAUUCAGCGGCGGACGGGUGAGUAAUGCCUAGGAAUCUGCCUGGUAGUGGGGGAUAACGUCCGGAAACGGGCGCUAAUACCGCAUACGUUCUGAGGGAGAAAGUGGGGGAUCUUCGGACCUCACGCUAUCAGAUGAGCCUUGGUCGGAUUAGCUAGCUGGUGGGGUAAAGGCCUAACAAGGCGACGAUCCGUAACUGGUCUGAGAGGAUGAUCAGUCACACUGGAACUGAGACACGGUCCAGACUCCUACGGGAGGCAGCAGUGGGGAAUAUUGGGCAAUGGGCGAAAGCCUGAUCCAGCCAUGCCGCGUGUGUGAAGAAGGUCUUCGGAUUGUAAAACACUUUAAGUUGGGAGGAAGGGCAGUAAGUUAAUACCUUGCUGUUUUGACGUUACCAACAGAGAAAGCACCGGCUAACUUCGUG